rnacentral:hammerhead_ribozyme from 1 species
ACUCAUCUGACGAGUCCCAAAUAGGAUGAAACGCGCAUCCUGGAU